GCCUUCUGUGGCCAGCCUGUAGGACAAAACUUAUUUUUGACCAAAAAAUGGGGGAGAUUGUUAAUGUAGAAUCUCACUUCAGAGGGUCGAUUGCCCAGUUCAUUGAGAAUCAGUGAAAGGUCAGAGUCCCUGGGUCCUGGCCCCUGUUUGUCUGUUCUGUUUUCCUUGCUGGUCUUUAGAAAGAAGAACGGAGAUGUGGUCCUUCCUAUCUCUCUUCUGUUGAAAUAACACCUGCCCAGUAGAAGCAUAUCUCAGUCUCACUCAGAGAAAAGAAAAGCAGUGAUUGGAGAGUGAAGACAGGUGGUCUGGGUGGGUGGGCAGAUUCUGGCUAUCAGGCACAGAUGUGUAACACUGGAAUGACAUAUAUGCCUCUUCUCUGUGUCUUAGCUCGCUCUCACUGUGAGGUUCACAGCAAGGGCUGGGGACAGCCCUGGGUUGGAAUCCUGACUCAACUGUUCUUAGCUGUGAUGUUCCUGAACAAGCUACUUUGUCCCUCUGAGUGACUGAUGCUUCUCUGUAAAGUGGGGAUGCUCUAGGCAGCCACAUCCCAGGGAUACCUGAGAACUUAGUGAGUUAUCACCUGCAGUGUGACUGGAAGAGUGCAUUGUCAUGAUAAUGGUGAAGAUCAUGGUGAUGGUGGUGAUAUGAUAAUAACGAUGAUGAUGAUAAUGAUGAUGGUGAUGAUAACAAUAGAUAAUGAUAAUAAUGAUAGUGACUAUAUUGAUGAUGAUGGUGAUGAUGGUGAUAAUGAUGAUCAUAAUGGUGAUGAUGAUGAUGGUGAUUACGGUAAUGGUGAUAACAGUGAUGAUGAUAAUGAUGGUGAUACGAGUGGAUAAUGAUGUAAUGAUAGCGAUGAUGAAAGUGAUGAUGAUGAUGGUAAUGAUGAUGGUGAUGAUAAUGAUGGUAAUGAUGGUGAUGAUGAUGAGGGCAAUGAUAACGAUGGUGGUGAUGGUGGUGAUGAUGAUGGUAAUGAUGAUGAUGGUGAUGAUCAUGGUGGUGGUGAUGGUGGUGAUGAUGGCGAUGGUGCCAAUGGUGAUGAUGAUGGUGAUGAUGAUGGUGAUGGUGAUGAUGGUGAUGAUGAUGGUGAUGAUGAUGAUGGUGAUGGUGAUGAUGAUGGUGAUAGUGAUGAUGAUGGUGGUGAUGGUGACGAUGAUGAUGAUGGUGAUGAGGGUAAUGAUGAUGGUGAUGAUGAUGAGGGUAAUGAUGAUAUGAUGAUGAUGGUGAUGAUGAGGGUAAUGAUGAGGGUAAUGAUGGUGGUGAUGAUGAUGGUAAUGAUAAAGAUGAUGAUGAUGAGGGUAAUGAUGAUGAUGAGGGUAAUGAUAAUUAGGGUAAUGAUGAUGGCAAUGAUGAUGGUCAUGAUGAAGGUAAUGAUGAGGGUGAUGAUGAUGAUGACAAUGAUACUGCCAAUAACAAUGGAUGAUGAGGAGAAGGAAGAGGAUGAUGACGAUAAUGAUGGCAUGAUGAUGAUAAAAAUGGAUGAUGAAGUGGAUGAUGAUGGUGGUGGUGGUGGUGGUGGUGGUGGUGAUGAUGUAUAGAUACUUCCUGGGUCGAAUCCUCAGGUUUCUUCAGUAUUUACAGUGAAGAGCUUUACAUGUGUCCAUUUUCAAAGCUUCUCCCUGUGAGUGCAUCAACUUCAUAUUUUCACCCUAUGCUGAAUUGUCCUCCCUGCCUGGGAAGCUUGAUAUUCCAUUCCAUGACUUCAUAAUCUAUAAGAUUUCUAUUUCUUUGAGCUGUGAUUUUUUUCCUUUAGUAUUUGUGCUUUAUUCUACUUUCUAAACCUGUGCCUGCACCAAUGAUUUGCCCUGCUGUGAAGAUAGAAAUGGCGCUUCCUUCUUUCCUCUGGUAAUUUUGAGAUGUGUGAGUUUCUGCCCUGGGGUUUUUAGUUUUCUCAAACUGCAGGGGGUUAAUUAGUUUGGUUACUUCACAAUAGCAUUUACAGUUUUCUUAUUAACUGGGAAGAUAUCCAAGGACUCCUACUCUUCAUUGGGGUCUUUUGCAAGGUUUUAGUCACGAGGAUGGGUGGUAGAACUUGCAGAGAAGCCAGAAACAAGGAGAGAUCUGAAUCACUGAAAUCACCUCUAGCUGUCCUCAAAAAGUCAUGGGGCUCAGUUUGUCUUUUUGGUUUGACCAAGGAGAGAAAUAUUAGACAACGCAUAGCUUAAUUGUUCAACUAUUCAUUUUCUACAGACUUUGCUUAAAAACACUUAAAAAGCACAAGUUAUCAAGGUACUUUAAGUUGGGAGAUUGGGAAAAGAUUGAAGAGAAAAAAAAAUCAGGGUCUUAAAGCCAGCAAAGAGGUUUUUCCUGUACCUAAAAAUCUCAAAAGGUGACAUUCUUUCUUGGCAACAAUUGAGUAUCUGUACAUAAGAUUUGACCAGGAGUGGAAGUGGGAGAACCAAAGAGGUUGUUUUCUCAGGUGAAGACUCAUUCUGCCUGAGAAUGGGAAUCACCAAAGAGGCCCUGGCUGGACUCAAGAACUUGCCUCUUGCUACUUCUCUUGCCCAGAUAUUUGCUCCCUCCCCAGUCUGGCCCAGAUUUAACCAUCAUUUGUUCAUGGAGUCUUCCCUCACCCUCCAGACUAAGUUGCUCCCUGACUGACCAUUACUGUUUAUUUGUAAUAAUAAUAUCAAGCACUUGCCCAAUGCAGGGAUUUAAAUUAGAAUUAAAAAGAGACUUUUUAAUUAUACUUAAUGGUUCCCCAGAAAGUGUUUAUUUUUUAAAAUGUUGAACUAUCCUCAGGGCCAAGAUAAUAUUGGAAGGCUGAGAAUCUUAGAGAAAAUUCCAUUCUUCAUUUUAUGUGUGUUUCUACUGUUUCUGGAGCAAAUACCUAGAGAUGCUCUUGAACGUGUCUCCAAAGAGAAUACCUGGGCAAUAUAUUGCAGUAUUCUUCAUCAUGGCAAAAACAAACAAAAGCAAAGUAAAAUGUCAAUGAUAGGAGAAUCAAUGUGCAAAUUGUGGUAUAUUCAAGCACUACAAUUCUGUAAUAAGCCCCUCCCCCACACAGCAUAUAUUCAUGUUCCCAUGGAUGAAUCUCUAAUAUACUGGUACAUAAAAAUUGCAGAAUUAUAUUGACAAAAAUGGUAUUGUUUAUAUGAUGUUUAAAAACAUCCCCAAAUACUAUAUUUUAUUUAUGUGUUCAUGUGGCGUGAAAGCAUGAACAUGAACAGAGAGGACACGUAGACCAAUUUCCAAAUUGUGGUUCCACUGUGAAGGAGGGUACCAUGAUGGAGACGAGGAGCAAACGGGUCUUCCACUGACAAUGAUGAUGUUGAUGAAGAUGGCGUGAUGUGUGAUACUUCCACUAGAAUCCAUGACACUUUCUGGAGAGCUGAAGCAAAGAUGAUGAAUGUUCUCACUUGCUAAAUUUAAGUGGAGUGUGUGUGUGUGUGCGUGCAUGUGUGUGUGUGAUCACUUUUGGAACAUUCCCGUAUGUUUGAAAUAUUUCAUAGAUAAAUAGUGUUGGUCUUUUGAUGGACUUGAUGAAGAGAUUUUACAAAACUUUUUAUAAGCAUCAGAAUCUCUCAUAAUAGAUGGAAUUCUUGAGUCCAGAUAAAAGGGUCAUGCAGAAGCUGUGAGAGCGAUUAUGGGACUUUGUGAUAGGUUAUGACAGAAAUCGUGAUGUGUGCUUCCUGCCUGCUCUUUGCCCUUCUCCAGACCUGUGCCAUGGACACCUAGAUACCUCCUCAUGCUCAGUUCCCUGCAGGCGUCGCUGGGGAUUGGAAGUCUUAGAGGGAUCCAUUAUCUGAUGGAGAAAGCGAGAGGGACUCUUUCAUGUGCUGGAUAAGAGCAACCAUUCAGUGUCCCAGAUAGAGAAACUGAUUUAGAAUGUCUGAAGGGAACCGUCCUCUGAAUUAGUCCCACCUCUAAAGAAUUAUUUAAAUGCCAUCUCAUUGCCUCUGAGUUCCUUUUAUGAAUAAAAAGGGUAUUACUGAGUUUAAGAAGAUGAGUUAAUUAAUGAAGUAUAAUUCCCAGAAAGCCUCUCUGACAUACUUUUAAAACCCAGGUAGGUGUAAUCCCAUCAUUUAAAACUUUGAAUGUGAGACUGGAAAAUAAUAUUCUGAUUGUAGGAUACAGUAACCCCAACAAGGGCACUGGAGUGGAGGGAAGGGGAGCUGGGAAGGGAGAGAAGGUCAGGCACUGGGAGAACCAACAGUCAUGAGGAAUGAGACUCAGCCUGGCCCUGAGUCACAGUGGACAGCAGAGGGGACCAGGGAGAUGGUUUUAGGUGAACAUAUGGAUGAGUUGCCAACAGCCAGCGUCUCUGACAGGGAACCAGCUGGCAGCUCACCGCUGUCCAGCACCUAAGGCAGCCUCCAUCGUGGGUGAAUAAACAAAGUCCGGGUGUCCAUCUGUCCGAGAUAUUGCUAAAGGGGUUUCUCCAUGGGGUGGCAUCUCGGACUUUCCAAAUAGGAUUCUGUCAUGAUUUGUGUUAACGUUAUGCAUCAUGAAAUAAUUGCUUGACCAAGGACUUAGAGGGAGCCAUUAAGUAAGUGAUUGUUUAUUUUAUUUAUUUGCUUCUUUUUUUCUCUUCUUUUUUUCGAGACAGGGUCUUGCUUUGUUAACCAGGCUGGAGUGUAGCGGCAUGAUCAUGGCUCACUGCAGCCUUGAUCUGCUGGGCUCAAGCAAUCCUCCUCCCGAAUAGCUGGGACCACAGGCACACACCACCACGCUCUGCUGAUUUUUUUUAAGAGUCAGGUCUCACUUUGUUGCCCAGGCUGAGAUAGUUUCUUAGCCCAUUGGGUUGAUAAUUGAUUCUGUUUACCUAUAAAGUCCCGAAUAUCGGGGUGCAAAUAAAUAAAUCUAAGUUUUGGCCCAGUAAGGGCUACAUUGGCCAAAGCUUCAUGAUCACAGUUUCAAAAUGUGAACCAGAUGUUUGCUUAUAUCUGCCAAGCAACAGAAAGUAACCUCCCCAUUAGACAGAAGCGGCAGGUAGCAGCAGCCCCGCAGUCUGCUACGUGAGGCCACUCGGGACGAAACCCUUCCUUCCUCCUUCCCUGGAGAGACAGUCACAAUCCUGGCCUUCACCGCAGGCUUGCUCUGCUAGCUCAGAUAAAGCGGAAGCAUGAGAUAAACGCCUUUCAAGGAGGG
rnacentral:lncRNA from 1 species